ensembl:lncRNA
UCCCAUCUGGCCCACAGACCACACUCGAAUAGGAAAGAUGUUAACUUUACUCCAAAUGGGCAUUGUCCCUGCUCUUAAUCACCUAUAAUUUUAUUCUUCAGGGUUCCAAGAUCAUCAGAUUGGAGAAACUGACCCAUUGGAACUCAAAACAUACUUGGUCCAAAUAGCUUCACCCAGGUUUGAGAAGUCAUUCAAGAAUGUUGGAAACCAAGUGCUGGAAAGAGCUACAUGAACAUACGACUGAGAUUGUUUUGCAAGACUUGGUGACCUACAGCUGGUCCACAGCUAAUUGCUGGAGCCUCACUGGAGAUGUAAAUACUGUAGUUUCGGGACACACACCUGAAGAGCACAAACCUCUAUGUAAUGGGUCAGAGAGCAGCAGUUCAUUUCUUGAUGCCUUUUUCACAUAUGCACCAUCUGUAUACUGAAUGACAUGCAUGGAAAAUGUGUUUAACGGUGGAGAAACAGAAAUGCGUAGUGGUUUUUGAGCUCUUAGUUUUGUGUCAUGAAAAUGAAUUUCAAUCCUGUCUGUCCCAUUUGUUAGCUGCAUCUGUUUUUCUAUCAGUACAAUGCAUGUAACGCUCUUGGGACAGUUAUUGUGUGAGUUAAAUAAAUGGAUGUGUGUAAAAACACUUGGCGUGGUGCCUAGAACAGAGUAAGACAUCAAACAAUAGCUGCUGUUAUUCUGUAGGAUAUAGUGUUCUGCUACCUGACUCUUCUGAAAAGGAAACUAAUACCCAAAUUUGUCUCAUGUGAGUUUUAGUCUCGUGGGAUCAACUAUGAAGGCUGCUAGCAGAGCUCAAUGGGAGAAAACCCAGUGUCUGACCUGUGGCUACAGAGGGGUUGUGUCUUUGGUUCCUUUUAGUCUGGCCAACCUGGUCCUUUACCAGCAUGAAGCUGCUUCCUCCCAAGGUUUUCACUUGCAAAAACAAGAAGACCCUGGAGCCCAACAACUAGUUACUUAUUUUUAAAUGUUUUGAAAUAAAAAUAAUAGCGUGAGGCUUUUGCUUCAGCUCUCUUUCUGAAAUGACUCUUGACAGGAACUGGAAAUGGUUCCUGUCAAUGUAGUCUCUCUCGCUCAUGACCAAACGGGAUGUAGGAGAUUGGGUGGAAUUUUCUGAGUUCUUUGUAUACCUAGGAAUGACAUGUCUGUCAUUUAGUUAAAAUAAGUUAUUGGUUUUUAAAUCAAAUUAAAAUAUUGAGUCAACAAGCAGGUACUGUACUUGAAUUCUCUCUUAUUUGUAAGAACCGUUUUUCACUAUUUCAUGAGUAGUGGGGGAAAACAAGGGGUUAUAAAUAACAAAAACAUGUUUUGGGCUUCAUGAAACCCAUAGAGGCAAUUAUAGGACAGUCUGGAAAAAAGUUGAAAUGACCAUUAUUUCUCAGGAAAAAAAAAUCUUUCUUGCCUUAUCAAAUAAGCAAGCUGACAAUAUUCUUUGAAAACAAUUUUAGAAUAUUUACUUCCUUCUUUCACUGGAGGCCUGUGCUGAACUCAGAUCAUUUCUUCUUGAGUCCUGUACUUUCUCUCCUUCCUGUGAAUAAGAGUGGUAAUUGUCUUCAGCAUCACUUCAGGGCUUAGACUUGAAAAAAGUCUUAAGAGCAAGACAGGUGAUUGGUUUUGCUCGAGGGAUCUAGAGAAAGCUGGACACACAUUCAAUGGAAUAGUAGACUAAUUACAGAUAGCUGUAGCAGAUCAAGUGUUGACUUCUUCCGGUGAUUAAGAGAUAGCACAAUUUCGGGUUACUGUGUUGUUGCUUCAGGACUUGCCAUGUUUAAAUAUCCAUGGCCUGGGAGUAAAUGGGCAAUGAUCAGUCUAGUCUCUUGUUUAAAUUACCUCCAAAGCUCUAUUUGUUUCAGAAAUAUCAGAAAUAAUCCAGAAACUCCCCAGAUUCUUAGUCUGAGAAUCUGAAUUUCCUUGCUCUGCUUCUUGUCCAGUUCCUAUGAUUCUAUAUCUCUCUUCUAACCUUGGGCUUCGCAUGCUAAACUCAUAACAAAUAACUGUCUCUGAACUCUCUCAGAAAUGUGCCUCUCUGCCUUUGAAUUUCAUAUGCCUUUUGUCUUGAAUGGCCUCACUCCCUUUGUUUCCUAAAAUAACUGAUAAAUUAUCAUUUAAAACAUGCUUCUGGUGGUUGUUGCUCUAGUCGCUAAGUCG